rnacentral:rRNA from 1 species
AGAGUUUGAUCCUGGCUCAGGAUGAACGCUGGCGGCGUGCUUAACACAUGCAAGUCGAACGAGCCUUCGGGCUAGUGGCGGACGGGUGAGUAACGCGUGAGAAUCUGCCCUUAGGAGGGGGAUAACGGCUGGAAACGGCCGCUAAUACCCCAUAUGCCGCGAGGUGAAAUGAGAAAUCGCCUGAGGAUGAGCUCGCGUCUGAUUAGCUAGUCGGUGGGGUAAGAGCCUACCAAGGCAUCGAUCAGUAGCUGGUCUGAGAGGAUGAUCAGCCACACUGGGACUGAGACACGGCCCAGACUCCUACGGGAGGCAGCAGUGGGGAAUUUUCCGCAAUGGGCGCAAGCCUGACGGAGCAACGCCGCGUGAGGGAUGAAGGCCUCUGGGCUGUAAACCUCUUUUCUCAAGGAAGAAGAACUGACGGUACUUGAGGAAUAAGCCACGGCUAAUUCCGUGCCAGCAGCCGCGGUAAUACGGGAGUGGCAAGCGUUAUCCGGAAUUAUUGGGCGUAAAGCGUCCGCAGGCGGUCUUGAAAGUCUGUUGUUAAAGCGUGGAGCUCAACUCCAUUUCAGCAAUGGAAACUAGAAGACUAGAGUGUGGUAGGGGCAGAGGGAAUUCCCGGUGUAGCGGUGAAAUGCGUAGAUAUCGGGAAGAACACCAGUGGCGAAGGCGCUCUGCUGGGCCAUAACUGACGCUCAUGGACGAAAGCCAGGGGAGCGAAAGGGAUUAGAUACCCCUGUAGUCCUGGCCGUAAACGAUGAACACUAGGUGUCGGGGGAAUCGACCCCCUCGGUGUCGUAGCCAACGCGUUAAGUGUUCCGCCUGGGGAGUACGCACGCAAGUGUGAAACUCAAAGGAAUUGACGGGGGCCCGCACAAGCGGUGGAGUAUGUGGUUUAAUUCGAUGCAACGCGAAGAACCUUACCAGGGUUUGACAUCCUGCGAAUCUUUUGGAAACAGAAGAGUGCCUUCGGGAGCGCAGAGACAGGUGGUGCAUGGCUGUCGUCAGCUCGUGUCGUGAGAUGUUGGGUUAAGUCCCGCAACGAGCGCAACCCACGUCUUUAGUUGCCAGCAUUGAGUUGGGCACUCUAGAGAGACCGCCGGUGAUAAACCGGAGGAAGGUGUGGAUGACGUCAAGUCAUCAUGCCCCUUACAUCCUGGGCUACACACGUACUACAAUGCUACGGACAGAGGGCAGCAAACUCACGAGAGCUAGCAAAUCCCAUAAACCGUGGCUCAGUUCAGAUCGUAGGCUGCAACUCGCCUACGUGAAGGAGGAAUCGCUAGUAAUCGCAGGUCAGCAUACUGCGGUGAAUACGUUCCCGGGCCUUGUACACACCGCCCGUCACACCAUGGAAGUUGGCCAUGCCCGAAGUCGUUACUCCAACCCUUGUGGAGGAGGACGCCGAAGGUGGGGCUGAUGACUGGGGUGAAGUCGUAACAAGGUA